rnacentral:rRNA from 1 species
CGACAGGAACAAUCCCUUCGGGGUGCGUACCUGGGCGUCGAGUGGCGGACGGGUGAGUAAUGCAUAGGAAUCUACCCAGUAGCGGGGGACAACUUGGGGAAACUCAAGCUAAUACCGCAUACGCCCUACGGGGGAAAGCAGGGGAUCUUCGGACCUUGCACUAUUGGAUGAGCCUAUGUCUGAUUAGCUUGUUGGUGGGGUAAUGGCCUACCAAGGCGACGAUCAGUAGCUGGUUUGAGAGGACGAUCAGCCACACUGGGACUGAGACACGGCCCAGACUCCUACGGGAGGCAGCAGUGGGGAAUCUUGGACAAUGGGGGCAACCCUGAUCCAGCAAUGCCGCGUGUGUGAAGAAGGCCUGCGGGUUGUAAAGCACUUUCAGUAGGGAGGAAAAGCUACGGGUUAAUAACCCGGAGUCUUGACGUAACCUACAGAAGAAGCACCGGCUAACUCUGUGCCAGCAGCCGCGGUAAUACAGAGGGUGCGAGCGUUAAUCGGAAUUACUGGGCGUAAAGCGCGCGUAGGUGGUUAUGUAAGUUGGAUGUGAAAGCCCCGGGCUUAACCUGGGAAUUGCAUUC